ACUUUGGCUAAUACCGCAUAGACUCGAAAGAGGAAAGCUGCCGCAAGGUAGCGCUAGAAGAGGGGCCUGCGUCCGAUUAGCUAGUUGGUGGGGUAAGAGCCCACCAAGGCGAUGAUCGGUAACUGGUCUGAGAGGACGACCAGUCACACUGGGACUGAGACACGGCCCAGACUCCUACGGGAGGCAGCAGUGGGGAAUAUUGGACAAUGGGGGAAACCCUGAUCCAGCGAUGCCGCGUGGGUGAAGAAGGCCUUCGGGUUGUAAAGCCCUUUCGGUGGGGAAGAAAAGCCUCGAGUUAAUACCUCGGGGUCUUGACGUAACCCAUAGAAGAAGCACCGGCUAACUCUGUGCCAGCAGCCGCGGUAAUACGGGGGGAGCAAGCGUUGUUCGGAUUUACUGGGCGUAAAGGGCGCGUAGGCGGCCACCGCAAGUCGACUGUGAAAUCUCUGGGCUUAACCCAGAACGGUCAGCCGAUACUGCGGGGCUAGAGUGCAGAAGGGGCAACUGGAAUUCUCGGUGUAGCGGUGAAAUGCGUAGAUAUCGAGAGGAACACCUGCGGCGAAAGCGGGUUGCUGGGCUGACACCGACGCUGAGGCGCG
rnacentral:rRNA from 1 species